rnacentral:lncRNA from 1 species
UCUUUUUGGAGAGCUCCCUUUUGCCCUACCCUUUUGAUUGCGCUCUGUCUCUCUCCCCCAUCUCUCCACCUCCUCUCUCCUUUCUCCCUCCCUCUCUCCCUCUCUCUCUUUCCUUUUUUCUUUCUUUCUUUCUUUUCUCUCUCUCUCUCCCUCCUUUCUUUCUUUCUUUCUUUCUUUCUUUCUUUCUUUCUUUCUUUCUUUCUUUCUUUCCAUUCUUUCCAUUCUUUCUUUUCUUCCUUCCUUUCCUUUUGUGGAAAAAGUAGCCGUUCUUUAUAAGAAUAAAAUCACAUCCUUUGCCUUUUCACUUUCUCCCUCCAUCUUCCUCCCUCUCUCUUGUACCCUCAGAUCGCCACGCUUUGGACCUCCCACGAAUGGUUUGAACCUGAGGCAUGAAUUGAGCUUGACUCCCUUGAGGGAGAGUUGCGAGAGGUGCUUACCAGAGUGGAGGAGGGUCAACAAACACAUCUAAAAGACAAAGACUGCAUCAGAAUUAGUGGAAAAGAAAACCAACAGUCAGAAAUGCUGGGACUUACCUACUACCAACAAAAUUUCCUUAAACCAUCAUAUCAUCAAGUUGUCAUCAUUUAAUCAUGACAUCAUGUUGAAAAUGCCAUCUAAAAGUCAAGAGAUGAAAAAGCUGGAUGGAAGGAAGGUCGGAUAGAUAAACUGGACACUGAAGCAGAAGCUAGAAGAUGCCAUCAGAGACCCAGUAGCCAGAUGUAGCUGCUGAUUACGAAAGACAGGAUCUACACUGGCUACUGAGCCAUUGAGGGUACCUACACCUUCCAGCAGCUGGGUGAUCCUUUGCCUUCUGGGGAGGGGCUCUGUGGAAGAAAAAAGAAGAUAUCAGAUUUCAAUUGCACAUUUUCUUUGGAUCAUGAAUUGACAUUUUGACAAUAUUCCCAUGUACGUAAUUUUAAACAACCUCUGGAUUUAUUUACUUAUCCAACAGAUACUGACUGAGUGACAUUAAAUAAAGUGCCACAUAUUUUCUUAGGUGCUGGAGAUCCAGCAGCAAACAAAAAAAGUGGAAAAUCUCUAUACUUCUACAGCAUACAUGAUUCCUUGUGACAAAAUCUACAAUCAAUUAUUUGGUAUGUUUUGCAGUAAAAUGGAAAUAUACACAAGAGAAAAACAAACAAGCAAACAAAAAACCAAUCUACCAUUUUAUUGUGGCUUGGAGCAUUUUUGUUGCUUCCUGUCACUUUAACUUGGGUAAUCUAGCAAUGAUGCACAUAUGUAAAGUAAAUUGCAGUUAAAAAAUUCUUUCGUGUUACGAACUGAGGAUAAUACAGUUAUUUUACCAAAUAUCUCAAACACCAAAGAAAAUUACAGAAAAUGCAUAUUAUAAUAAAUAUUCAAAGCAGGUGCUCACUAGCAUGUCAGUUCCAAGCUUUCCUCCCAUGAUACAAUGAAGGUAACAAAAUAAGUCACAGGAUUGGUGUUCUCUUUGCUAUUCAUUUAUCCACCCCAGAAAUACUUACUGAGUACCUUCAAUAAGUACCUUUCAGUACCUUACUGAAAUACUUCUGCGUGCUUUAUUCCAGGCACUGGGAAUGCAACACUGAACAAAAUCCUUGCACUCACGGAAGUUUAAGUCUAAGAUUUAAGGAAAGGGUAGAAAAAGACUGAAAAAAACCUCCAUAGAUAUGGACGGUCAUUUCAUAGAGUAAUGAAACAGUUAAGAGGAAUGCUAUUUUCGAUAAGGUGGCUAGGAAAAGCCUCACUGAGGGCCUGGCAUUUGAGUGGAUUCCUGAAGUAGGAGGAGAAGAAUCAUGUACAUACCUGGGGUGGGAAAGGACACCACAGGGAGAGGCAAGAGUCAGAACAAAAAGCACUGAAACAGGAAAAAGCCUGGUAUCUUGGACAAGGUGUUCUUUUAUUAGCACAUGACCACAUGGCCAAUUAUUGUUUCCUACUUUUAGGAUUAUUCUAGAAGGUAAAUGACUAUGCAACUUUUCUCCAAGUACACGUCUUAGAAUCCUUUGCUGUGAAUUUAAAAUGCUUCAGCUAUCACUUAGAAAAGAUUUAAUAAAGCUACUGUCAAUUGGAAACUAGUACCAUUUGAUCGGACAUGCAGCUAUACCACAGUAUGACACACACAUAUUUAUCACCAAGAGAAAAGUGGCUUUUUAAAAAUGUGUUAGCUAUAAGAAAAGAUAACCAGCUUUCUGGGAGCUCUAAAUAUAUACAUAUCUAGGGAAUGAUUUAACUAUUUAAUCACAGAUGUCUAAUUUUAAGAGGCAACUCACUUGCCAAAUUAUAGUAAUAGUGCUUCACCAGUGUGGUUAGCUCUUGGUGGGGGAGGAUAAGGGUGGAAUUUACAAGGUGAAGCAGGGGUUUUUUUGAUUGCUUGCUUUUUUUUCUCUUUAAAUAAGUUAAGGCCAAUCCCAUCUAUGAAGUAUAUUUUGGCACUGCCUACAAACCAGAGCAUACAUACUGAAGUGGGGGAAAAGACCGUUUAUAUAGGUUUGGCUAAGUCUUACCCUCAAUGUAAAAUAAAGCAUUUGUAGAACACACAAACUUACAUUUCAUAAACCACUAAAACUAACUGUUCAUAACUCUACUUUUAUGAAUAAGACUAACAAUUAAAGUGAGGCAAGGGUUUAGUGUGGUCACUUUCAAUGCCAAAAUACAAAAGAUUAUCUUUUAUAAAUCUUUACAUUUAGAUGAGAAAAGGUAAAUUUUUAAUUCUCAAAGGUAUCUAUUCUCCACAUCUUAGUACUAAAGUUAAGGUGGUCUUUUGCCCCUUGUUUUAAAUUUAAUCUAGGUAAUACAAAUAGGAAAAUCUGUAAAUAAAAUUUUAUUAAAGGUUAUUCUGUAAAUUAGUGUCAACCACUAAACAAUACUAUACAGUUUUAAGUUUAUUAAAAACACAAAGAAUAGAAUAUGUAGAAUAUAUAACACCAUAGAAUAUUAACCAAUAAUGCAUUUUCAGUUUAAAAAUAAAAGGAAAAGAAAAGAAAUAGGUUCAAACUAGAAAUGUUGAGUUAUAUAAUUCUGUUAUCUAACAAUUAAGAUGACAACUAAGCCCCAAGGGUGAGUGAUAGGACUGUAACCAAGGUACUUCUGCUCAAGUCCUAGUCACACUGCAAACAAACAAAACAAAAAUAAUAAUAAACAAAAACUCCCAUACAUUCUGGCUAAAGACCAUUUAUUUGAGGUAUGAGAAAGAGUUUAAAGGGAGGGAAAGACUAUUAAAAGUUAAGCCUGCCACCUGCUGUUGGAAGGCCUGCUUUGAACUGGGAUAAAGACCAUUUCUUGAAAUGUUAACCUAGAAUUUGAAGAGCUUACACUCCACACGGUUAGAACAGGGGCAACCUAUACACCAAACCAAGAAGUAAAGAAACCCAUUGAUGUUUAAAGCUACACUGAGAGAGAUAAAAGUCACAUUCGCAUCAAAGUUCUACUGGAAAUGAAAGAAAUGCUGCUUCGUGCGUCAUUCUACUGAAGGAAGAGUAGAAUUACUCUGUCUUUUAAACUGAUUACCUGGACAAUUCUAUUUUGCCCCCAAAAAGCAUCUCUGACUUUAGAAAUUAUCAUUUUUAGAAAGAAAUUUUGACCCUAGGGACUAUAUGUGGAAGUAAAUGAAGAGAGAUGAACGAUUUCACAGCAUUGCCAGAAUGCUAACUUUACCAAGUCAAAAUUGUCUAAUUCACUGUUUUUAACACAAAUGUGAAAGAAUCUAUGCUUCUUUGAGUAAAAGAACUUCCAGAUGCUUUCCAGUUCCAUGAUUUUCUAUAACCUCACAAAGUCUGGCCCCACAUGUCCCCCUAAACCCCAUCCAUGAUAUUUCACAUAUUUUUGUUCAUGCACCAGUAGUUUUCUGUAACUAAAUAGGAAUAGAGUCAAAUUCUAUCACAAUCAUGUUUAGGGAUUUGACAGAGCAUAAGCCAGUCCACUAUUCUAAUGAAGUCAGAGUUUACUUUAGAAGUGAACAAAAACUGCCACCCACAGUGUAUAUCUCAUGUUAAGUGAUUCUUAACAUAUACACAAACACAGACACAAAACCAAAGGGAUACAAUGAAACUUUGAGAGAUGUUGAAUACAUCCAUUACCUUGAUUAUGGUGAUGGUAUCACAGGUGUUUGCAUAUAUCCAAACUCAUGAAAUUUUCCACAUGAAAUAUGUGCAGUUCUUUAUCAAUUAUACUUCAAUAAAGCUGUUUUUUUUUUUAAAAAAAGCUGCCUCCCACACCGUUAAGAACAAAAAGUCCAAUUAACUCUAACUGUAGGCCAGGGAAGAAAUGCACCCAUGUAUACACAGUG